CCAGGGAAUGAACAGUGAGUCCUUUGCUUGAGUGCUGGUAGAGGCAGCUGCAGUUUCUGGUUUCAUCAGCAGACACAGAAUGAGGAGACUGGAAUGUUUUUGGAAGCUCACACCUCUAGCCUUUGCUAAUUAUGUCCUUUAAAGAUAUAGGAGGAUUUGAGGUGUUUCUUACAUGCAACACUGAAGCCCUGAGCACUCCUGAUGUCCCAUCAAACCUGUGCACCAGCAGCACCAGGAAUACUGGCGUUUUCCCAAGGAGGAGCUGCAUCCUAAACGACCUUGAGAAGACACAGCAAUUACUACCACACAUGCAAGAUAAAUUAUCACCAAAGCCAAGGCUUGAUUUCCUGAGAUAGAGCAGCCAGUCUGGAGCAUUUAGAACUGGGAUGAGCUCUAAGAUAAGAUGUUGGAGUCAAUAAGAUAAAUGUGUAAAUAAAAAGGUUCA